CCCGGGCCUUGUACACACCGCCCGUCACACCAUGGGAGUGGGUUGCAAAAGAAGUAGGUAGCUUAACCUUCGGGAGGGCGCUUACCACUUUGUGAUUCAUGACUGGGGUGAAGUCGUAACAAGGUAACCGUAGGGGAACCUGCGGUUGGAUCACCUCCUUA
rnacentral:rRNA from 2 species